rnacentral:rRNA from 1 species
AAGCCCCGCAAGGGGUCAGUAGAGUGGCAAACGGGUGAGUAACACGUGGGUGACCUGCCUUCGAGCGGGGGAUAACGUCCCGAAAGGGACGCUAAUACCGCAUGACAUCCUGCCUUUCAAGAGGUGGAGAUCAAAGCUGGGGAUCGCAAGACCUAGCACUCGAAGAGGGGCCCGCGCCUGAUUAGCUAGUUGGUGGGGUAACGGCUCACCAAGGCGACGAUCAGUAUCCGGCCUGAGAGGGCGGACGGACACACUGGGACUGAGACACGGCCCAGACUCCUACGGGAGGCAGCAGUGGGGAAUUGUUCGCAAUGGGCGCAAGCCUGACGACGCAACGCCGCGUGGAGGAUGAAGACCUUCGGG